UUUAAAGAAAGCGUAAUAGCUCACUGGUCGAGUCGGCCUGCGCGGAAGAUGUAACGGGGCUAAACCAUGCACCGAAGCUGCGGCAGCGACGCUUAUGCGUUGUUGGGUAGGGGAGCGUUCUGUAAGCCUGUGAAGGUGGCCUGUGAGGGUUGCUGGAGGUAUCAGAAGUGCGAAUGCUGACAUAAGUAACGAUAAAGCGGGUGAAAAGCCCGCUCGCCGGAAGACCAAGGGUUCCUGUCCAACGUUAAUCGGGGCAGGGUGAGUCGACCCCUAAGGCGAGGCCGAAAGGCGUAGUCGAUGGGAAACGGGUUAAUAUUCCCGUACUUGGUGUUACUGCGAAGGGGGGACGGAGAAGGCUAUGUUGGCCGGGCGACGGUUGUCCCGGUUUAAGCGUGUAGGCUGGUUUUCCAGGCAAAUCCGGAAAAUCAAGGCUGAGGCGUGACGACGAGGCACUACGGUGCUGAAGCAACAAAUGCCCUGCUUCCAGGAAAAGCCUCUAAGCAUCAGGUAACAUCAAAUCGUACCCCAAACCGACACAGGUGGUCAGGUAGAGAAUACCAAGGCGCUUGAGAGAACUCGGGUGAAGGAACUAGGCAAAAUGGUGCCGUAACUUCGGGAGAAGGCACGCUGACACGUAGGUGAAGUGAUUUACUCAUGGAGCUGAAGUCAGUCGAAGAUACCAGCUGGCUGCAACUGUUUAUUAAAAACACAGCACUGUGCAAACACGAAAGUGGACGUAUACGGUGUGACGCCUGCCCGGUGCCGGAAGGUUAAUUGAUGGGGUCAGCGCAAGCGAAGCUCCUGAUCGAAGCCCCGGUAAACGGCGGCCGUAACUAUAACGGUCCUAAGGUAGCGAAAUUCCUUGUCGGGUAAGUUCCGACCUGCACGAAUGGCGUAAUGAUGGCCAGGCUGUCUCCACCCGAGACUCAGUGAAAUUGAACUCGCUGUGAAGAUGCAGUGUACCCGCGGCAAGACGGAAAGACCCCGUGAACCUUUACUAUAGCUUGACACUGAACAUUGAGCCUUGAUGUGUAGGAUAGGUGGGAGGCUUUGAAGUGUGGACGCCAGUCUGCAUGGAGCCGACCUUGAAAUACCACCCUUUAAUGUUUGAUGUUCUAACGUGGACCCGUUACCCGGGUUGCGGACAGUGUCUGGUGGGUAGUUUGACUGGGGCGGUCUCCUCCUAAAGAGUAACGGAGGAGCACGAAGGUUGGCUAAUCCUGGUCGGACAUCAGGAGGUUAGUGCAAUGGCAUAAGCCAGCUUGACUGCGAGCGUGACGGCGCGAGCAGGUGCGAAAGCAGGUCAUAGUGAUCCGGUGGUUCUGAAUGGAAGGGCCAUCGCUCAACGGAUAAAAGGUACUCCGGGGAUAACAGGCUGAUACCGCCCAAGAGUUCAUAUCGACGGCGGUGUUUGGCACCUCGAUGUCGGCUCAUCACAUCCUGGGGCUGAAGUAGGUCCCAAGGGUAUGGCUGUUCGCCAUUUAAAGUGGUACGCGAGCUGGGUUUAGAACGUCGUGAGACAGUUCGGUCCCUAUCUGCCGUGGGCGCUGGAGAACUGAGGGGGGCUGCUCCUAGUACGAGAGGACCGGAGUGGACGCAUCACUGGUGUUCGGGUUGUCAUGCCAAUGGCACUGCCCGGUAGCUAAAUGCGGAAGAGAUAAGUGCUGAAAGCAUCUAAGCACGAAACUUGCCCCGAGAUGAGUUCUCCCUGAGACUUAGAGUCUCCUGAAGGAACGUUGAAGACGACGACGUUGAUAGGCCGGGUGUGUAAGCGCAGCGAUGCGUUGAGCUAACCGGUACUAAUGAACCGUGAGGCUUAACCUUACAACGCCGAAG
rnacentral:rRNA from 1 species